rnacentral:rRNA from 1 species
UACGGGGGGGGGUAAGCGUUGUUCGGAAUUACUGGGCGUAAAGGGCUCGUAGGCGGCCAACUAAGUCAGACGUGAAAUCCCUCAGCUUAACUGGGGGAACUGCGUCUGAUACUGGAUGGCUUGGAUUCGGGAGAGGAAUGCGGAAUUCCAGGUGUAGCGGUGAAAUGCGUAGAUAUCUGGAGGAACACCGGUGGCGAAGGCGGCAUCCCGAUCGGACCGACGACUGACGCAUGAGGGAGCGAAAAGC